GGGUUUGAUUAGAGUAAAAGCGAUUUGAAAGUCGAUGGGGGCAAAGGCGAGGAAAGUGUCGAAGAAAAUAAUAAAGAAGGCGUCUUCUCAAUUUUCACAUUCUGAUUCUAAAACAGCCUCUAUUGAUUUCCUGCCAUUGGAAGGCGGUUAAACUCCCUUCAUUUAUAUGCAAGAUCCAUUUAUAUGCAAGAUCGUUACUCCGUGGGUGGAACCGCCGGAGCCGUCGUAAUUGCCUAGGUGGAGCUUUUAGUCUAUGUGGGAGUUAGCUUCAGUACUUAAUUUCUUGCAUGCCACUUUUAAAUAAAACAUGGUCCUGUGGGAGUUCUCGGCGGAGUUUGCGAAAGCGUUGAUUACGCCUAAUGAUACUUUGGGAGAUAUUCUUGUUCCUUUGUUAAAGAAUGAAACCAGGAGUUAAUACCUCACGGUGGAUGGAGUGUCCAUGAGUUUUAUAUUCUAAUCCAAAGUUUAGCAUACGCGUGAUGGAACACUGAUUCGCUGAAGAGUUGUGCUCAAAAGGUUUGAAGAUGGCUUCAUGUAUGAAAAGCAAAACCCUUAAGUGACCCUAAGGUUGGUACAGUUGUUUAUAUUUGUUUGUGUUUGGAGAAAGGAAUUUUAGGUUGGUACUUUUAAUGUUGAUUGUCCACAUACUUUUUGGCCAAGAAGUAUUUAUCAUUAUAAAAUAUAAUAUACUUAGUAAAAAGAUGGGUGAGAUUGAUUUCUGUAGAAUUUGUUAAUUUCAAUGGCUUGCUGGAAGUUUUUUGUACCAAUUUAGGGCCAACAAAGAAUGAUAUCAAGCCAAAUAUAUUCUGUUUACUCACAUUCUUUUCCAUUAUUGUAUGGAUCCUCUUUAUCAUAUUCAAUUAUGACAUUUGUAAUGAUUAUCUAGAGAUUAAUUUUAAUGGACAGUUUAAAUGAAUUACAUAGGAAGAAAACUACUUCACUAUUUGCUUUAGUGUUUUCAAUAAAUACUAAUUUUCUAGGGUGGAGGUUGAAGUAUACAAUAUAAGUCACUUGAUCUUGGAAUUCAUGCUGUAAUCUUGAAAACACUAAGUGACACUCGCGUUGAGCUAUGAUAAUCAUCAAUAAAUUGUCUUUUAACUCUCCAUUGUAAAUGCUUGAUGUUUCUUUUAUUGAUCUUGACUUUGAUUUCCCAUAUAUAUUAUAUUGUAAUUUUGAGGGCAGCAUCAACUCUAUUCAUGUAAUAUUGGUGGAACUAAAAUUUAUGAUUGCGAAUAUUUCAAAUAAGUCCUGAAUGGCAGAAUUCUUGUAGCUUAGUGUUGGACACUUAGAUGGUUGGACACCUGUUUACUUUACCUGGGACCUGCAUUACAGUUGCAUUUUAUUAACUAAUGAUGCACUAACAUAUUGGUCUAUACAGUUUUUGUUGUACAUUGUCGCUGUCAUUGUCAUGUAUAUGAAGGCUUACUUCUCUUUUAAUUAUCUUUACAUUGAAACAAUUUUUCUAUCAACAUAAGUGAGUAAAUAGCUCUUCUUGACAAUGAUUUUUAGAUCUAAAUGUGCUUUAAUCUUUAUGUUAUGGUAAUAUGCUCAUUAUAAAUAAGUUAAACAGUUUUAAUUAACUUGGAAGAAUUUCAAGAUGAAUCAUACCUUUUGUGCCACUUCCAAUUCUUAUUUUAAUAGGAAUGGGACUCUUACCUUUUUUGAUGGCAACAAAAAAUUUUCGUUGUAUGUUGGCUUUUGCAUGCAUUCAUUUCCUUUGUUUGUACUUAUUUGCAUAAGAAUGUGAUGAGAUUCUAUGGCCCUUAAUGUUGUUCCCAAUGAUGAAGAAAUUAUGGAUGUUAAGGCUACAACAAUUUCCAGCACUACAGUGUAGAUUCCAACUUCUACAAAGAGAUCCAUUGUCAGGUUAGAUAACCUCAUUAUGGAAGCGAUUACAAGCUUGAAGGAGCAUGGUGAUUCAAAUAAGACAACUAUUGCGGCAUGUAUAGAGGUGUGGUGUCUGUGGGAAGUGGACCAUUGGAUCAACUAUUUGGUGGUGGAAACUCUCAUCAGUUUUUGCUAGGGCAGGUGUUGCAGCCCUCACCAGUGGACUGAUAGCAAUUUUGUUUAUCCCUCAACUUAGUUCACAGAAGAAUAGGUCCUUCCCAUGAGGUAUUUUGUUGUACCUUAUUUUUUGUUUGCCAUGAACAUGAAUAUUAAAUUGUUCAGAUAGCAAGAAUUUGUAUAUAGCUAUUGUUAUUUUAUUGAUCAAUAAAAUCAUUAUGAUCUGAGGUUUUGUUUGCCAAUAUGUUAUUUUAUUUGACAUUUGAAACACUAAAAAGCUAGCUGCAGCUUCAUUUUCAUUGGUUUUCCAACACGUGAUCAUCUAUUCUGUUUUCUGAAUAUAGAUAAAGUUGUUUCUGCUGAUUGAUGCUUUGACUCACGGAUGCCUUGCCUCAUGUUUUCUCUUUUAUCUUUUCUGUGAAAGUGCAAUCAAGACAAUUUAUGUAAUAGCUUAUUGGGGUUCAAUAUUUUUGUUAGCACUAUAAUGCCUCUGAUGCUUCAAAUAAAUGAUGAUAAUGCUCUUUGAUCAAAAUUAUAAAUUUUGCUAGGAUUCACUUAGUUUGUUUCUAAAAAGAAGUUGCAAUUCUCCAAUCUUGAUCACCAUCCCGAUCAAUGUGUCAUGCACCACUUUCAUAUUUGCACAUGCUACUAAUAUGCUUAAAAGGUCAUUGAAUUGUUAUGUCUAUUUUAAAUGAAUUCAAAUGUCAUAUGUCCAAUUGUAAUACUUUGAAAUAUGUAUAUGCGUGUAUGUAUAUUAAUUUUCCAUUACAUUCAUGUACUUAAAUAAAAUUUCAUUUCAUAAUGA